rnacentral:rRNA from 1 species
UACAGAGGUCCCAAGCGUUGUUCGGAUUCACUGGGCGUAAAGGGUGCGUAGGUGGUCGGGUCAGUCUGAGGUGAAAUCUCCGAGCUUAACUCGGAAACUGCCUUGGAUACUAUCCGGCUGGAGGGUUGGAGGGGGGACUGGAAUUCUCGGUGUAGCAGUGAAAUGCGUAGAUAUCGAGAGGAACACCAGUGGCGAAGGCGGCGAUCUGGGAAGAUACUGACGCUGAGGAGCGAAAGCGUGGGGAGCGAACAGG